GCGGUGAUGCCGAUGAUGCGGGCUGGAGCUGGGGUGCUACGUCACCGUUGUCAUCGUCAUCACCAUCAU
rnacentral:miRNA from 1 species